CUACGUGCCAGCAGCCGCGGUAAUACGGAGGGUGCGAGCGUUAAUCGGAAUAACUGGGCGUAAAGGGCACGCAGGCGGUGACUUAAGUGAGGUGUGAAAGCCCCGGGCUUAACCUGGGAAUUGCAUUUCAUACUGGGUCGCUAGGGUACUUUAGGGAGGGGUAGAAUUCCACGUGUAGCGGUGAAAUGCGUAGAGAUGUGGAGGAAUACCGAAGGCGAAGGCAGCCCCUUGGGAAUGUACUGACGCUCAUGUGCGAAAGCGUGGGGAGCAAACAGGAUUAGAUACCCUGGUAGUCCACGCUGUAAACGAUGUCGAUUUGGGGGUUGAGCUUUGAGCUUGGCGCCCGUAGCUAACGUGAUAAAUCGACCGCCUGGGGAGUACGGCCGCAAGGUUAAAACUCAAAUGAAUUGACGGGGGCCCGCACAAGCGGUGGAGCAUGUGGUUUAAUUCGAUGCAACGCGAAGAACCUUACCUACUCUUGACAUCCAGAGAACAUUC
rnacentral:rRNA from 1 species